rnacentral:rRNA from 1 species
CACGUAGUUAGCCGGUGCUUUUUCUGCAGGUACCGUCACUUUCGCUUCUUCCCUACUAAAAAGAGGUUUACAACCCGAAGGCCGUCAUCCCUCACGCGGCGUUGCUGCAUCAGGCUUUCGCCCAUUGUGCAAUAUUCCCCACUGCUGCCUCCCGUAGGAGUCUGGGCCGUGUCUCAGUCCCAGUGUGGCCGGUCACCCUCUCAGGCCGGCUACCCGUCGUCGCCUUGGUGAGCCAUUACCUCACCAACAAGCUGAUAGGCCGCGAGUCCAUCCCCAACCAAAAAAAUCUUUCCACCACCAGACCAUGCGGCCGGCAGUCAUAUCCAGUAUUAGACGUCGUUUCCAACGCUUAUCCCAGAGUCAGGGGCAGGUUACUCACGUGUUACUCACCCGUUCGCCACUAAUCCACCCAGCAAGCUGGGCACCAUCGUUCGACUUGCAUGUGUUAAGCACGCCGCCAGCGUUCUCCGUCGAGCCAGGAGUACAAAACUACUACCUAGUACGAC